GAGAAACACUAAGACUCAGCAGAUAAGGAUGGAGGCGACUCAACAUCACACUGAGACAGAUAUGAGCCCUGCAUUUCUGAAUGCCUUGAAAGAAAAACCAGCAAGUUGGGAGGGCCGUGUCUCCUUAUCAUCUUCCAGGAAUUCAAAACCGUGAUUUCCAGUUUCCAAAUGCAACUCAAGCUCCAUCACCCUGUACAUCUUGCACGGUUUCUCCAGCAUAUCCUGAUCGCCACCUCCAGACCCUUCUGAUAGAUUCAUUACCUGAAUCUAUUUGAUCCUGAACUCCUGCUCUCCCUUGGCUCAACCUCAUCACAGCCAGAAAGGAUGAGAGCUCUUUAAUGAAGUGCAUACAUGUCAGUUUCCCAGGACACAAACCAAAGUAAAGAAGAAUGGAGCAUGCUCCUAUAAAGGAAAAUAAAAGGAGAUCCAUAAAGCAAAUCCAACUCAUGGACACUUACUAAACAUGCACUGUGUUCAUGUAAUGGCUCCAAGAAUCUUAGUGGACAUGGACGGAAGUACACACCUGGAGUGGACCUACAGAAGCUCAGAGUCAAAUGGCAGAAAGAUGAUAUGGGCAUUGAAUACAUUAAAUGAAAAUAAAAGUAAUAAAUCACAAGAGAAGAGAGUAACUGAGGGUGUCACUGGGCAGUACAUUAGCAAUUAAUUACCAGACACCUAUGCAGUUAAAAUGUACUGCUGGCCUUCAAAGGUGAAGGAAUCCAUGGCCUGGAAUGACCAUAAAAAAUUUAUUUUAACAAAAAGACAUGACUGUAGCCUUUUAGGGUAAAGAGAUUUUAACAUUUGAAGAGCAGAGAGACAGGUACAGCAUUGCAGGCUAGGAAAUGUGGGAGUUCAAAAUGGCAGACCAGGAGGAAGGCAAGUUGUGUUUGGGAAAAUUGACUUUAUGGUUAUUAGAAAGACCAUGUAAGCAAGCAGAGAUCAAUUGUGCUAGAAAUGUUUUUCAAAUUGAGCAUCUGGUGUGUGUUAGGCACUGCUCUCGGCACUGGGGAUACAGCUGUGAACAUGAUCAACAAGGACCCUGCAAUCAUGGAGAUUAAAUUAUAGUGAGGCAAACAGAAUAUAAAUAAAUAUACACAUUAGGUGAAAGCCAGACAGCUUCGGGUCUUAUGGAGAGAGUUACUGUUGGAGCAUGUACUAGAGAAUGACUAAAUGGUAACUAUAUGGGAUGGUCGAAGAUGACCUCAAUGAGGAAUCUCUACACUUAGAUAAGACCCAAAUAGCAAGAAUGGUUCUUGUUCUGUAUUAUAAUCAAGAGGAAGAGGAUUUCAGGCAGAGGGAAAAAUGGGAUCCAUGGGCUAAAACAGGUACUUGAAUGAUGUUUUUGAGGAAAUAAAUGAAGAUCAGGGUGGCUAGAGCAUUGUGAUGAAGGUUUACACCAGGUGCUGGCUGGUUUUUAUUCCUAGUGAGAGACAAUUGUUGCAUUUUCAGGGAUUUUGUAAGGCAAUUCAUAUAACGUUGGUAGCUUAUAAUUGACUAUGGUAGGAAUAUUCAUACCUGAGAAAUCGGCAAACACUGUGAAUCAGGACUCCCUCUUUGUCCCCAACCCUCAACUCCCAUUCAGAGAGCCUGUUUUUGAGUAUUUUCUUGCAUACCACAGAGUGAGUAUAAGAAGCAGCUGGAAUAGUAACUAGGAACCAAUCAUCUUAGGCUUUAUAAGGCAGAGAAAGGAAUUUUAAUUUUAGGUGUGUUGGGAAGCCAUUAGUGGGUCUUAUGUAGGAAAUGAAUAUGGUCUGAUUUACAUAUGUAAAGGAUAAUUCUGAGUAUGUUAUGGAACACUUUGUAAAUAGGUAAAAAGAGAAAUAGGAAAAUCAGCUAUUGCAUUAGACUCAGUUAGAAGUGGCAGUGGUUUUGCUAGGGGUUAUAUAAAAGGAAGAAAACUUAAUAAUGUUAGGCCUGACUAUAGGUAGAAUCUAUAGUUUUUACUCAUGAAUUGGAUGUAAGAAUUGAGGAGAAACGAAGAACCAAGUAAAAAUUUUGAGCUUUGGCUUGGGAAACUAGGUAUAUGGUAACGCCAAAAAGAGAGAUGUAGAGAAUUGAUGUAGGAGCAAAGCUGGGCUGGGAAAUUGAGAAAAUUAUACCUGCCUUGUUAAAGUUGAAACACCCACAUGACACUCACCUGGAAGGAUAUUCACACUUGGAUUGUUGGGGAAUAAUAAGAACUAGAGAUACAGUUUGAGGGUCACUGGCAUAGAGAUAGUAAUUAAAACCAGGAUGUCAGUUAUAUCACCUAGGGAUAAUGCAAAGAGAGAGAAAAGCAGGAGAUAAGACAGAUCGAGCAGUGGGAGAAGCCGGCAUUGAAGAAUGAAGAGGAAAACCAGGCGUGUCUAGUGCCAUGAUGCCAAGAGAAAAACCCAGCUCCGAGAAGACAGGAGUUUGUUUGCUAAUGUUAUUGAGGGAUAAAGUAAAAUACGAAGAGAGAAGUAACUUGGACUGGCGGCAAAGCGAUCACCAGUGCUCCUUCUAACUGUGGUGUCGAUAAAGUAAUGUGGACUGGAUGAAGGAGCCUCGUUGGAAUAAACUCAUAUAGGAAUGAUGAUACCGUGUUUACCUACUAAUGGGAAUGACCCUAUUGAAGAGGGAACAUCACGUAUGUUGGGGAGCGGAAAAGUCAAAGUCCUCGAAAAGGACCCACCUCCCAGCAUUAUGCUGGAGAUUGCAUUUCAACACAUGAAUUUUGGGGAGACGCAAACAUUCAGAUCGUAACAAGGGCUAAAUGACUUUUGGAAACUCAGCUGUAGUGCAGGAAGCACUUUGGAAACCAAUGGCUGAAAAGUUUGCUUUCUGUGAGAAGUGUAAAUCAAAGUCAUGUUUCUGUUUCCAGCAGUAGAGGAAAGAGAGAUAAACCUGAUGGACACAAGCAGGGCCCUGGAUCCACUUUAAAGGGACAUCCAUGGAAACCAAAGAGAUAAGACUGUGCCUCGUCAAUAAAAACCCCACAUCUCUGGGACUCUGCCACCUGGGGCAUUGUUGCCCUGAAGGAAGAAGCUGAAGGGGAGAUUUAGUUCAUUUGAUUAUCAGCCAGAGAGGAGCCAUCCUUCAAGGCCUCCCAGUCUCUGGCUGCAGCAGUAACUGUAACACUUUCAGCAAGUCUGUACCUAGGCCUUGAUCUGUGUGUAACUUUGGAGGUAGUUGAGCCGUUAUUUGAAAGAAUAUUAUUUUGAGCAAAGGAAGGAGCAGUAAGAGCUUUGGCUCUCCAAUGGGGAAAAAUGUAUUCAUCCUUUCAAACCUCUCAGUUAGACUUAGGCAAAAUGCCCAAUCUGCAGAAAACAAUUGGAGAUCCCUCUGAGGUCCUACUUGGUGGAUCUUCUCUCUUAGAAGUGAAUAGACACAGGAGCACAGGGGUCUUAUGCAAUAGAUAAAAGUUCCUGCCUCUGGACACACAGCUCAACCUCCAGUCUCUGAUAGAGGGAGGACCUAUGCCUUUCCAUGUGUGCCCAGAACUCACCAGCAUCUUCCCUUGCCUGCAGAGAUCAGUUCCUACUGCUCCUUCCUUGGCUCAAAAUAUAUAUUUUUUUAAAUAAUGGCUCAAAUACCUCCAAUGCUGGUAACUAAGAAUGCCUGAAAGGGACUGUUACUGGCUCACCUUAAAAACCAAAGGUGUCAUUUUCUGAACAUUGUUUACAUAUUAUGAUUCAGUAGCAAACACACUGGUUUGGCAGUCAGACCACGAGAGUUUAGCCAUGGCUGUGUCUGCUACUAACUUGCUGUGUGACUUUUUGUACCUCUGUUCAACUCUCUGGGAUGAAUGAGUCAUCCUUUGGGUGACAUGAAGAUAACGCAGAUACUAUUCAGAUUCAUGAUUGUCUCAUCAAGUGAGGCUGCAAUGGCCUCCAAUAAUGCAGAAAGCAAUGAGACAUAUUAGAGAAUCUACACAUUCCAAAACUGUGUUUAAGGUAUUUCACAGAGGUCAUUGGUUGAGAAGUGAAUUCUAUAACAAAUCUGUGAUGUUUGACAAUUGAAAACUAGUAAAACUAUAUAGUUACUUAAAAAAAAAAAGGGAGACUGUCAAUAUACCCAUUGCUUUAAAUGUGUUCACUUUUUAAGUAAUAAAUGUAUCAAAAUUAUUUUUUUUCAUUGGCCUCUGUCAUAAAACAACAACUCAAUGAUGAAAAAAUUCCAGAAAGUUUUUAUGACAAGCUGAGCAGUGGAAACAUGAACUUGUGAAAUAUUUAACUUUAUAUAAUUUCUGAAUCUUUCCAA
rnacentral:lncRNA from 1 species